AUCUACGGCCAUCGAAUGGAAAAAGUUCCGCAUCCCGUUAGCUCUGCGCAGACAAAGCUCCAUAUCGCUCGAUUAGUACCAAGAUGGGGGACCACUUGGGAAUCCCGAGUGCUGUAGUUU
rfam:Cryptococcus bestiolae CBS 10118 unplaced genomic scaffold supercont1.2, whole genome shotgun sequence.